GCUUGCCUCGUCAGACACCGCGCGAGGAAGCCCCGCAGCUCCAAACCGAUCUGUAAGGAAUGUCCGUGGAGGUAGCUGCAAUGCGAGUGUCACGCUUAUGUGGACAGACUCACUCUUCCCCUCGCCUCUUCUCUCCUGGCUACCUUAUCCAUCCCGUUCCUCCCGUCCCUCGCUCUCCCGCCCCGGCCCUCCCGCCAUUCUCCACACCCUUGCACCUCCAAUUCCAUCGUUUGAAAUUGUGGGUAAUUCCGAUUUCGUGAUCUCCACCGCAAUCAACUAUGUUACUCCGCCUGUGUGCAGUUUUCAGCAUGGAUUAUACGGAGAUUUGUGUGAGCGAUCGGGGCUGCGGGUUUGGCGGGGUUCGGUGACGCCACUGCCCCGCUUGCGCAGUGUGGGUUCCAUAGCUGGGGUGCGUUUGUUCGGCAUCUUUCACCUUAUGCUUUCGUGAUCGCAUCAUGAUGCCACGUUUUGCAUUUCAAGUCGCACUACCUUCGAAUAGGAAAAACUUUCGUAAGUUCAUUUAAGCCCUACAAAAGAGCUUGAAUUCCCGCAGAUUUUCUUUCAAUAUAUGACCACCAUGCAAAAACCCCAAACUCAAGUUCUUUGUGAGGGCUUUGUCCUCAUCAAAUGUUGGAGCAAAAUCAUCAAUAUCCCUAGGAAGUUGAUAUCUUAGUAAAAAAUUGAUGUAGAACUUGAGAUUAUUCCUCCAUAAUGAACAAGCUUUACUGUUGCCAAUCUUGGUGUAUUACGACAA